UGUAGAGAAGAUCAGAACAAUAGUGUAUACGUCGUCUUCUGUGAAUUAUCCAACAUAAAUGUGUAGUUGUAUAUUAGAGUAGCGUCGCAGUUGAAUUUCGCUAAUGCAAUGUCAGUGUUCUGAGCACCAGAAGAACAGUAAUUCAACACCACGGUAGGCCUACUGGGAAAGCGACAAAGACGUCAGAAAGAUAUCUCAGAAUAACAUCAACCACCAGAUAUUUGCAAGGCCAGCUACCAUCAGAGGUCACUCAUCAUGGAGCCAAGGUUGGGCUCUCAACACAGAUAGCUCUCAACCUGAAGCCCGCCUUCUCCUCUGAUCUGCUGACUCACCCUGCACAGUUUUACCUUUCAGUCCAGGAGGGAGGAAUCCAGGAAGAGCUCACCACAGAGAAGCUGAGCGGCUGGGAGAUGACAGGUUGAAAUUGUUCUGUCACCUUCCUAAGUCAUUCGGCUUUGCAUUAACCUCAGCGACCAGCAGGGUCAGGUGUCACCUCAUGGUCUGGGCGCAGAUUGAAGAGGAAACGAGUGAAAG